AGGCCUAACACAUGCAAGUCGAGCGGCAGCGGGAAGUAGUUUACUACUUUGCCGGCGAGCGGCGGACGGGUGAGUAAUGUCUGGGAAACUGCCUGAUGGAGGGGGAUAACUACUGGAAACGGUAGCUAAUACCGCAUAACGUCUUCGAACCAAAGUGGGGGACCUUAGGGCCUCACGCCAUCGGAUGUGCCCAGAUGGCAUUAGCUAGUAGGUGGGGUAAUGGCUCACCUAGGCGACGAUCCCUAGCUGGUCUGAGAGGAUGACCAGCCACACUGGAACUGAGACACGGUCCAGACUCCUACGGGAGGCAGCAGUGGGGAAUAUUGCACAAUGGGCGCAAGCCUGAUGCAGCCAUGCCGCGUGUGUGAAGAAGGCCUUCGGGUUGUAAAGCACUUUCAGCGAGGAGGAAGGCCAAUAACUUAAUACGUUGUUGGAUUGACGUUACUCGCAGAAGAAGCACCGGCUAACUCCGUGCCAGCAGCCGCGGUAAUACGGAGGGUGCAAGCGUUAAUCGGAAUUACUGGGCGUAAAGCGCACGCAGGCGGUUUGUUAAGUCAGAUGUGAAAUCCCCGCGCUUAACGUGGGAACUGCAUUUGAAACUGGCAAGCUAGAGUCUUGUAGAUUGGGGUAGAAUUCCAGGUGUAGCGGUGAAAUGCGUAGAGAUCUGGAGGAAUACCGGUGGCGAAGGCGGCCCCCUGGACAAAGACUGACGCUCAGGUGCGAAAGCGUGGCCGAGCAAACAGGAUUAGAUACCCUGGUAGUCCACGCUGUAAACGAUGUCGACUUGGAGGUUGUGCCCUUGAGGCGUGGCUUCCGGAGCUAACGCGUUAAGUCGACCGCCUGGGGAGUACGGCCGCAAGGUUAAAACUCAAAUGAAUUGACGAGGCCCGCACAAGCGGUGGAGCAUGUGGUUUAAUUCGAUGCAACGCGAAGAACCUUACCUACUCUUGACAUCCACGGAAUUUAGCAGAGAUGCUUUAGUGCCUUCGGGAACCGUGAGACAGGUGCUGCAUGGCUGUCGUCAGCUCGUGUUGUGAAAUGUUGGGUUAAGUCCCGCAACGAGCGCAACCCUUAUCCUUUGUUGCCAGCACGUAAUGGUGGGAACUCAAAGGAGACUGCCGGUGAUAAACCGGAGGAAGGUUUGGAUGACGUCAAGUCAUCAUGGCCCUUACGAGUAGGGCUACACACGUGCUACAAUGGCAGAUACAAAGUGAAGCGAACUCGCGAGAGCAAGCGGACCACAUAAAGUCUGUCGUAGUCCGGAUUGGAGUCUGCAACUCGACUCCAUGAAGUCGGAAUCGCUAGUAAUCGUAGAUCAGAAUGCUACGGUGAAUACGUUCCCGGGCCUUGUACACACCGCCCGUCACACCAUGCGAGUGGGUUGCAAAAGAAGUAGGUAGCUUAACCUUCGGGAGCGCGCUU
rnacentral:rRNA from 1 species